AACUAAACACGGAAACUGGAACAGAAACACAUGUAGACUGUGGUGCUUAUUGCAAGAAAUAACAUAUUUAAAGAACUAUAUAUAAUUUUUACGCUAUCAAGCAUUUUUUCUAAGUCAGCUGGUGCAACGAUAGGAAAUCAGCUUAGGUAAAAUAGGUGUUUGUUGCUCUGGCUAGAAAUAAUGUGUUCUGCAGUCGCUACACGCUGCUAACUAAAGGGGGACACAUCAAAACUGUAUAUGUUAUUCACCUUUUUUUGUCCUCUGUUCGUCAAAAGUUUGUAACACAUUUGUGUUAAAAUCCCAUGAUAUAAAAGUGAAAACAACGACUUCUUGAUGAAGAUGGAGACACUAGCUCUGGUUGCGCCGGUCACUGCUCUGAAGUUCAUUCAUGAUACAAUUCUACUGACAGGUGAGGGUCCAAUAUUGACUGCUUACAGUCUCAGACCUCGUCCCAAAGCUGCUGCUUCUCUCAGUGUCCUCCGUCACUGCAGAAUCCAUGAAAUAAGACACAGAUGUCACACCUCGGAAAACGAGUUUGAUGAUGGAUUGAGUUUGACCAGUGAAUCCAAUGUCAAUGAUGUAGCAGUGUUUGGAGGCAAAGCCUUGAGGCUGGUUAGACUCCAUGUAGAUCUCCAGGGUGGAGAUAACUUACGUUUGGAAAUUUUGAGUCCUCUUAUUGAGUUACAAGACUGGAUCCUGGAUGUUCACUGGCUUUCUAAAGACAAAGGCUCACCUCUGUGUGUGGCCCUAGCCCACAAUAAUGCUCUCCUUUUGGAUGUUAAAACAGGAACUCAACUGUUUCAACGUUGUUGUCUGGACGGCUGCCUGCUGUACUCUGCCCUUCUUCUGGUCCAAGAAAACUGGGCUGACGCUGUCUUAGUCGGAGGAACUGUUUUCAACCAGCUGAUUCUUUGGAGACCUGGAAGUGGAGGAGCAGAGAGUCAUGAAAGUAAAGCUCCAGUUGAGAGGCGUCUGCUGGGCCACAGUGGUGUCAUCUUCAACAUUUCAUAUCUCCGGGAGAAAGGAUUGUUGGCCUCGGCCUCUGAUGAUCGCAGUGUGAGGGUGUGGGCUGUUGGUGUUCUCGGGGUCCCUGGUGGGCAAUGUGGAGAUUUGAACCCGUCCUGUUUAAGUGUCCUGUAUGGACACCACGCUCGGGUGUUCUCGGUGUGUCUCUCCUCAGAGGGACUGUUCAGUGCAGGCGAAGACGGGACCUGUUUAGUCUGGGACUGGGCCAAAGGGGGGAAAGUGGUUCGGACUUUGAAGGGACACCGAGCUGGAGGGGUGCGAGCCUUGGCAGUUAGUAAAGGAACAGGUCAUGAAGGAAUGUGGGUAGCUACCGGGGGGGCAGAUGGAGGGGUUAGACUGUGGAGGCUGAAGAAGAAUGAGAAGAAUGAGAACACAGAAGAAGAGCUGAAUCAGAAACUUAUUGAUUUAAAGUUCCCUGAUCACAGUGCACCUAAAGCAGUCUGUAUAACUGGGGAAAACGAAGAGAAUACAGACUGGAGCCAGUGUAAUGUUGUGGUUUGCACUGAAUUAGGAAAAGUCCACUGUUACAGCAAAGGACAGUGGGACAUUUUAUGGGAAGGCUCUGCUGACUUUAAGUCCUACUGUGUGAUGGAAACUGUAUCUGUCAAAGUGAACGACUCCACAGAGAAUGUUCAUCUAUGUGCUGUAGGAAAUCUAAAGGGUUCCAUUCACGUUUUUCCAAUAUCUCAUCCUCAAUCUGGAAUUCUUCUCUCAAGAGGUUCAGGGAAGAUCCAUAGUCUUAUUUGGCAAGAAGGAAAAGAUGGUGUGUGUUUAUUAGUAUCUGGCUCUGAAGGUCUAGUCUAUCGCUGGUGUAUUAAUGCAAAAAUGACGGAAAAUCAUUAUUUUACUUUUAUUGUUACUCCACUUCCUGCUUUUGUGCUUCCCACUUGUGCCAAAUGCUGGCUGUUGGCUGCUAUCUGUCUGUCUUCCAGACCAGAUGAUGAUCUUUGGGUUUGUGGGGACAGAAGAGGAUCCUUGAUUUUGUUUCAGGAAUCCUGGAAAGCGGAGGGACAUAGUGCUUUGUCAGAAGAACACGGGACAGAACAAACGCAGGACGAGGAAACAGACAACGAUACAGGUGAAGAAAGUAGCAUCAAAUGGCACAUAAAGGACAGUAAAAUACACAACGUCAAGAUUCAGCCUGCGAGUGUCCUGUUUGGUGUUCAUGGUAAACAGGGUGUGACGUCAGUGUGUGAAUACAAGGGACUUCUCUACAGCACCGGCAGAGACGGCUGUGUUAGAAUUUUUAGAGUGCAGCAGGCAGCAUCACCAAAAAAAGUUGAACGAUGCAGCGGAGAGACUGUUGAGAACGCAGGGCAGCUUCAGUUGGAGGUCCUGCGAGUUCAGCGGGCCUGUAAAGGAAUGGAGUGGCUGGAGAGGGUUUUGAUUCUUGAACCUGGAUUUCUGGGAGUUGAGGAGGAAACAGACGAGUGGGAGAACUUUUCCGAAAUGGCGCUUGAAAGUAAGGUACAGGAAGUGAGGUUUGUCAUCGCCGGCUUCCAUGGAGUCCAUUUUGUGGUUUGGGACCCGGUGAGGCAGGAGAGGCUGUUAGCUGUGCCGUGUGGUGGUGGGCAUCGUUCCUGGAGUCUGUGGCCUUCAGACAAAAGGAUUUGGCCUGGAUAUGGAGCAGUGAUCUUCAUCAAACAUGGUGCUGUUCUGGCUUCACAGUCUCCUGGGAAGGAGCAGGCCUUGGCCGCUGGAUCUGGAGGCACCGCAGGGUGGAGCCUGAGAGAGGGCAUUCACGGGAGGGGGAUUGGGUGUGUGUGCAGGCUAGGCAGGAUCAUUGACCCUCAGAUGAAGAACACUGAGAGACCGCUGGGACACUGGGAGGUGGCAGUGACAGGAGGAGAGGACACAAGUCUUACUGUCAUAGCAGUACAUCCUGAAUCAGGCAGAGUCAGAGUCCUCUCAGUUAUUACAGACCACAUCUCCAGUGUGAGGACAGUGGCGGCAAUAACACGGGAAGAGCCAGGCUCUCUCUCCACCUUGGUCUUCUCUGCCGGGGGCCGUGCUCAAAUGCAGUGCUAUCGCCUGUUGAUUGGCUGGGACGGGCAGAGGUCAGCGCCAUCCUGCCAGGUGAUCCAGAUCGCCAGGCACCGCUUGGACGAACAGUGGGAAAGGAGAAGGAACCGACACAGGACAGUCAAAAUGGACCCGGAGACGAGGUACAUGUCUAUAGCAGUGGUGGAUGAAGAAGCAGACUGUGUUCUUCUGGCGUUGGCCUGCAGUGAUGGAGCUGUCAGAUUGUUUUCUCUAAGUGAAGUUAAAAAUCAGUUUGAUUUGGUGUGUGAAAUCUUUUACCACCAGCGCUGUGUGCUCAGCGUUGCCACCUGCAGCCUGGAGGAUGGAAAUGGCAGCAGGUAUAAGCUACUGUUCAGCGCUGCCACAGAUGGGAAAGUCGCAGUUUGGAAUUUGACUGAAGUUUCUUCCUCAUCUGAUUCUUCAAGCAACAUUUCCUUUGCUCAAAUUCCCUGCUUAGAAUUCAGUGCCCACCAGAGUGGCAUCAACUCAUUAGCUGUGUGGAGGGAGAGCCAGGAACAAACAGAGAGUGGCUUUCUGAUCACUGUUGCUAGCGGAGGUGAUGAUGGGCAGCUGACAGUGUCCAGGAUCACAGUACUGCACCCAAAAGACCAGAACACAGGGGGCAGCAAAGAGCUUUCUCAGACAUCAGAGGCAACAGUUUCUCAGCUCCACCUUCACUCUUCUCUUCACAUCCCACUGGCUCACGCUGCUUCUCUGACUGAUCUGAAACUUCUCACCGCAGGCCUCCUGGUCUCUACGUCUUCAGAUCAGAGGGUUUGUCUGUGGACGGUCCACAGUACCGGUAUCAGCCACAAAAAGACACUCUGCUCCCACGUGGCAGAUGCAGCAGGACUUUCAGUCUGGGAGGAGGAGACGGUUGAAAAGAAAUGGGAUGAAAAGGAGAACCAAAGAUCUGAAAGUCAGCCAGAGAUUAUAGUCAGGAAAGGGAAGGGGCUUCGGGGAGAACCAGAUGGAGCGGGAGCCGAGACAGGUGACCCAGUUUUUAGGACAAGGGAUGAAAAUGAAAGUGAGACAACAAAGAGUGAGGAAAAAGGAGAAAGUGUAGUGAAGACGGAAGAGAAUGAGAUCAAAUGUUGCCGGGGAGAGAAGACAGGAUGGCUGCUGGUCUGUGGUCAGGGCUUCCAGCUGAUGAGAGUCGGAAACACAGAUGUGUGUCUGAACUGUCUGUGAUAUCUGAAGUGAUGCACAAAGUUGAGUUCUACUGCAUGGUUAUAGUUGACAUGUCAACUGUGUGACAAGAAAUAGUUUUAUAAUUUAAAAAGAGCCUUGACUUUAAUGAGAAUAUUCCAAAGAAUGACCUUAAACCAAUCACAGCCUUGUACACAAACCAUUCUUUUUUUCAAAUCAAGAGUGUGAAUAUGAAGACGUUUUGGGGGUUUUGAGCAAAAUAAGAUCUGACAUAUAGUAAGCUUGAUUUUUCUGGUGGUCCAGUUUUGACUGGUCCAUAAAUCACAACUGCCAUUUUUAUUUGAAAUAUAUGCUUUUCAGGUCAUUUUGUUGCAAUGACUCUUCACUUGGUAAAUACAGUGUGUGUGUAUAUAUGUAUAUGCAUAUAUAUACAUGUGUGUAUAUAUGUAUGUAUGUAUAUGUGUAUAUAUGUAUAUGUGUAUGUGUGUAUAUAUAUAUAUACACAUAUAUACAUAUAUUCAAUAUAGCUGUAAUAUAAAUUGACUGUCUGCUCAGUCAUUUAUAUGUGUUGAGCUUUUGUCGUCUGUAAAUGUGUGUGGGAGUGUUAGCAGCAUGUUCAUCUGGGACACAUUAUAUUUCUCCUGCUGCUGUGGGAUCCUUCACUUCCAUCUUCUGUCUAUAUAUAUAUAUAAAGUAUUCAGGUUGUGUGUGAGCGUUUGUGGAGGUCUCUGUCCAGUGAGGGCCGACUGCAGGCAUCCAUUAAUAUUUCAAUAUUUCAGCCAUGUCUCAUGUUGCCUUUUGUGUAGUGCCCGUCUGACAACCUGCCACGGUUGGCUGAGAGAAAAGUGAAAGAUAUGUGAAAACUGAACUGGAAAGAGGGGAAAGUUGGCCCUGAGAUGUGGAAGGGUUUACUACCCUCAAAGGUAAAAUAACCGUUAGUGCUUUUCCAUUUAUUGAAAGAAAUUAACCACUAUGGCCAUUUACAGGUGGAACGAAGGGGCAAAAGGACAAGGGAGGACAAGGGAGGAGUGAAAGUGAAAGCCUCAGAGCUGAGGUCGGUCUAAAGAAGAGGGAAGGGGAGGCAGAACUUGAGACGGGGCCAGCUUGGCUCAGUGUCAGCUGAUUAAAGAAAAAGCAGAGAAGAUGGAGGGGGAAAAUGGAAAGUGAGAAAUGACAGGACUGGUUAAUUGAUGAAGGACUCAAACUGGAGGAAGGAAUAAAAGAGCAGCAGGAGUAACACACCUCAAAAAGCCUUUUAGGUCAGAUAUGUCACGUGACCGACUGCCUCUUAUUGGAUCAUCUAGCUGCAAACCAACAGCCCAUCAGGGUAAACGCGGGAAAGGCAACCAGCAGCAGACACCGUCUGCUUCCUGCUCACAUCCAGGACGUCGUUCUGUCCUUCUGGCAGACACCACCAUGACACCCUGGGGGGGCUUAUCACUCUCUGAGACCUCCUUUACUUUGAUUCCUUCACCACAUCAACGCCCUCCUCCACCAACACCAGUUCGUCUCCCUCCUGCUCCCCAGCUGACUCCAGCCAACUCUUACCAACAACAACAGAAUGAAGAAGAACUGUCAAGUUCAAACAUGAGCUCAGAAAUCUCAUCUCCACCACCAACGUUGUCUCCCGGCGCUGAAGUAUGCAGAGAUCCAGGGCUCCAUGGGAGGCAGAGGGCGUUGCCUCAACAUCGAGGUCCCCGUCCUCCGCGUCUCCCACCACUGCGUCAAGUCACCAAUCUUAGCUUCUCACGUAGCUUCACUUUCUCUUUUUUUGAGCUGCCACUCCACCAGUCGCCACGCUGCCGAGCGGAACGCACCAAAAACGUAAUGCUGCUUUUGAGACAAAUCCAUUAUUAAAGGACAACAGCAGAUGUCAAAGUAUAAUCUCAGCCGGUCCGUUAAAAACAAAACAAACAAAAAAUUCAAAGUUAAGACAAGAAAGACAUCAGGAAUUUGAAUUCUCAUCACAAAAAGAUGACAGGGUGAAACGCAUAGGCUCAAGAGAACGAUGAUUUAUUUGUUGUGUUUGAUCCUAGGGAUGUGCCUUUAACAAUCCACCUUUUCAGGGACCGCGUUAAAACUGUUCUAGAACCAUGGCGUGCAGGGUGAGAUGAAGCUCCGAUGGUAAUCUUAAAGAUUUAAAGACCAGUUUGUGUCUUUCAAAAAAAAGUACAGAAGAAUCGUAUCUAUGUAUGUCUUUAACUUGGUAUAUUUUAUAUUAUUUUACCCUGACAUGUAAAGUAAAAUUUAAUUUGACCUUUGACACCAGCAUUGACCUUUGACACCAACAUUGAACUUUGUUUAAAAAAAAAAAAUCUUACAAAACUCUUAUUCGGGUUGAACAAAAAGAAUAAAAUUACAGAUCAGUUCCAUUUCAGUUAGAGAGCAGACAUUUUAAAUAAUUUAACUCCACUUACCCUGCACCUGCAGUACUGCCUCACCUCCUAAGGGUGGCCCAAUGCUGAUUUAGGAAACCCUUCUGCAAUAGUAAAAGUAGUGUGUCAGGGAAAUCAUCAGCUGUGCCAUGAAAAAUGAGUUUUGUGUUUCUCUUUCAUUCCUACAGGUAUAUCACCCUGUGUUCAACUAAACAGGGACAGGUUGAAUACUGUGUUAUAUGCAAGUAAAUUGAAACUAGAAAAUCAUUCUAUCUGAUUACAUAAAUGUUUGUGACAUUUUGUUCUGUGUGGUGUCUAACAUAACGCUAAAUAUGUGCCAUGGUUUUAAAAAGGUUGGAAAGCACUGGUUUACGAUGGUGGGAUCCUUGUUUUCAUGAAAAUGUUUCACACGAGAUGACUAAGACCUGCAUUGAAGAUACAGAGCUUCAGGCCUGUGUACAUAAACGUUUUAUACGUAUUUGUCACUUUUAAUCUCCUCCAACCUGAUCUGUUUCCAUUUUGCAGCAUUUAGCAGUAAAAUUAUUGGUGUAACGAGUAAAUGAGUCGUUUAUUUGUCUAAUAUUUAGACUUAGCGAGGAUUUAGAUUGUGUAUUUGUUUACUGUCUUAUAAUGAAAAAAAUAUUAGAACAGCAGUGGCUUCCAUAGAUAAUGAACUAUGGAAAUUAAAAAAUGGUCGACCUGUAGAGCACCAAAUGUCAUUGUGGCUUUAAUGAACUUUAAUAAAAAACACCAGACUUUGUGUGUGUUUGCACCAUUUAAAUAUCCAGUGUAUAAAACAGAGGGCGUAGUAUUAUACUGGAACAACUACAUCACUAAUUUGACACGUGUAAAACUACCCAAAGGGUUUAGUUGAAAUUAAAGCAACAUUAAGUGAACCCACAGCACCCAGUGUGACUGAUCUAGUCAAAGAAAACACAGAGAAACAGAGCUCAUGUGUCACCGUCUCACCUGCUCAUCAUCAUCUCGCUCGGCAAACAGAGCUUAUAUUUAAAGAGGAAUCAGCCAUUGGACGGGUUAGUGUGUUGUCAACCCAUGUUAUCUGAUCUCUUACUAUAUUACAGCAAAGACACAAAUGAAAGUUGGACCUUCGUACAGGUAUGAAUGAGCCGUGAGUCUUGAUGUUUUUCACAACUAUUUUUUUUUCAUUUCUGUCUUUAUUUUCAAACACUGUCCUCUUGGCUUCCUUAUGUUUUUCCAUUACGAUAAAAUGGCGU